rnacentral:rRNA from 1 species
AUUGAACGCUGGCGGAAUGCUUUACACAUGCAAGUCGAACGGCAGCACGGACUUCGGUCUGGUGGCGAGUGGCGAACGGGUGAGUAAUAUAUCGGAACGUGCCCAGUCGUGGGGGAUAACGUAGUGAAAAUUACGCUAAUACCGCAUACGAUCUAUGGAUGAAAGCGGGGGACCUUUGGGCCUCGCGCGAUUGGAGCGGCCGAUAUCAGAUUAGGUAGUUGGUGGGGUAAAGGCUCACCAAGCCAACGAUCUGUAGCUGGUCUGAGAGGACGACCAGCCACACUGGGACUGAGACACGGCCCAGACUCCUACGGGAGGCAGCAGUGGGGAAUUUUGGACAAUGGACGCAAGUCUGAUCCAGCCAUUCCGCGUGCAGGACGAAGGCCUUCGGGUUGUAAACUGCUUUUGUACAGAACGAAAAGGUUUCUACUAAUACUAGGAGCUCAUGACGGUACUGUAAGAAUAAGCACCGGCUAACUACGUGCCAGCCGCCGCGGUAA